GGGUUGUGAGGUUAAGCGACUAAGCGUACACGGUGGAUGCCCUGGCAGUCAGAGGCGAUGAAGGGCGUGCUAAUCUGCGAUAAGCGCCGGUAAGGUGAUAUGAACCGUUAUAACCGGCGAUACCCGAAUGGGGAAACCCAGUGUGUUUCGACACACUAUCAUUAACUGAAUCCAUAGGUUAAUGAGGCGAACCGGGGGAACUGAAACAUCUAAGUACCCCGAGGAAAAGAAAUCAACCGAGAUUCCCCCAGUAGCGGCGAGCGAACGGGGAGGAGCCCAGAGCCUGAAUCAGCAUGUGUGUUAGUGGAAGCGUCUGGAAAGGCGCGCGAUACAGGGUGACAGCCCCGUACACAAAAGCGCAUGUGCUGUGAGCUCGAUGAGUAGGGCGGGACACGUGGUAUCCUGUCUGAAUAUGGGGGGACCAUCCUCCAAGGCUAAAUACUCCUGACUGACCGAUAGUGAACCAGUACCGUGAGGGAAAGGCGAAAAGAACCCCGGCGAGGGGAGUGAAAAAGAACCUGAAACCGUGUACGUACAAGCAGUGGGAGCACCCUUUGGGGUGUGACUGCGUACCUUUUGUAUAAUGGGUCAGCGACUUAUAUUCUGUAGCAAGGUUAACCGAAUAGGGGAGCCGGAGGGAAACCGAGUCUUAAUUGGGCGUUAAGUUGCAGGGUAUAGACCCGAAACCCGGUGAUCUAGCCAUGGGCAGGUUGAAGGUUGGGUAACACUAACUGGAGGACCGAACCGACUAAUGUUGAAAAAUUAGCGGAUGACCUGUGGCU
rnacentral:rRNA from 1 species